rnacentral:rRNA from 1 species
AAAUGAAUUGACGGGGACUCGCACAAGCGGUGGAGCGUGCGGCUUAAUUCGUCGCUAAGCGAAGAACCUCACCAGGGCUUGAAACCUAGCUGUAAGCUUCCAGAAACGGAAGCCCUCUUCGGACUGCUAGGCAGGUGAUGCAUGGCCGUCGUCAGUUCGUGGUUUGAAUUGUACCGUUAAGUCGGGCAACGAACGCAACCCCUAUUGUCUGUUAUACGUGUCAGACGAGACUGCCCUUUUUGGGAGGAAGGUGGGGAUGACGCCAGGUCCGUAUUUCCCUCUGAUGCCCUGGGCGGCACGCGCGCUACAAUGGGUGCUACAACAGGAAGCGACGGGGUAACCCUAAGCAAAUCUUUUAAAAGCAUCCUCAGUUCGGAUUGUGGGCUGCAACUCGCCCACAUGAAGUCGGAAUCGCUAGUAAUCGCAGGUCAGCCACACUGCGGUGAAUACGUUCUCGAGUCUUGUACACACCGCCCGU